rnacentral:tRNA from 1 species
AUCUUUUCAGUAUAAUUAGUACAGUUACCUUCCAAGUAAAAAGUUUAAAAUAUUUUAAAAAAGAUA